UAACACUAACUGGAGGACCGAACCGACUAAUGUUGAAAAAUUAGCGGAUGACUUGUGGCUGGGGGUGAAAGGCCAAUCAAACCGGGAGAUAGCUGGUUCUCCCCGAAAGCUAUUUAGGUAGCGCCUCGUGAAUUCAUCUUCGGGGGUAGAGCACUGUUUCGGCUAGGGGGUCAUCCCGACUUACCAACCCGAUGCAAACUACGAAUACCGAAGAAUGUUAUCACGGGAGACACACGGCGGGUGCUAACGUCCGUCGUGAAGAGGGAAACAACCCAGACCGCCAGCUAAGGUCCCUAAGUCAUGGUUAAGUGGGAAACGAAGUGGGAAGGCUUAGACAGCCAGGAUGUUGGCUUAGAAGCAGCCAUCAUUUAAAGUAAUAACUCACUGGUCGAGUCGGCCUGCGCGGAAGAUGUAACGAGGCUAAACCAUGCACCGAAGCUGCGGCAGCGACAUUCAGAUGUUGUUGGGUAGGGGAGCGUUCUGUAAGCCGUAGAAGGUGAACUGAGAGGUCUGCUGGAGGUAUCAGAAGUGCGAAUGCUGACAUAAGUAACGAUAAAGCGGGUGAAAAACCCGCUCGCCGAAAGACCAAGGUUUCCUGUCCAACGUUAAUCGGGGCAGGGUAAGUCGACCCCUAAGGCGAGGCUGAAAAGCGUAGUCGAUGGGAAACGGGUUAAUAUUCCCGUACUAAGGAUUACUGCGAAGGGGGGACGGAGAAGGCUAGGCUAUCCGGGCGACGGUUGUCCCGGUUUAAGCGAGUAGGUGGGUAGUGCAGGCAAAUCCGCACU
rnacentral:rRNA from 1 species